rnacentral:rRNA from 1 species
AGAGUUUGAUCCUGGCUCAGGAUGAACGCUGGCGGCGUGCUUAACACAUGCAAGUCGAACGAAGCAAUUUGACGGAAGUUUUCGGAUGGAAGUCAAAUUGACUGAGUGGCGGACGGGUGAGUAACGCGUGGGUAACCUGCCUCAUACAGGGGGAUAACAGUUAGAAAUGACUGCUAAUACCGCAUAAGCGCACGGAGACGCAUGUUUCUGUGUGAAAAACUCCGGUGGUAUGAGAUGGACCUGCGUCUGAUUAGCUAGUUGGUGAGGUAACGGCCCACCAAGGCGACGAUCAGUAGCCGACCUGAGAGGGUGACCGGCCACAUUGGGACUGAGACACGGCCCAAACUCCUACGGGAGGCAGCAGUGGGGAAUAUUGCACAAUGGGGGAAACCCUGAUGCAGCGACGCCGCGUGAGUGAAGAAGUAUUUCGGUAUGUAAAGCUCUAUCAGCAGGGAAGAGAAUGACGGUACCUGACUAAGAAGCCCCGG